GUGGGACCUGGGGACGGAACUCAAAUUGUCAGGACUCCUAAGGAAAAUACGCACCUCAUUCAAAGUGGCUUCCAGGGCCAGCCAUGACUCACAUGUUGAAAAGUGUUCAGUGUUCAGAAUUACGCCUAGCUUCAGAGAGUACUGCCUGAGGAAAAGACAGAAUCUCAAUGGGAGGCGCGUGCGUGUAGUGGAUAGCCAACCCAGCAUUGGCCUGGAAGUUCCAACCCCCA